AGCGAACGCUGGCGGCAGGCCUUACACAUGCAAGUCGAACGGUAACGCGGGGCAACCUGGCGACGAGUGGCGAACGGGUGAGUAAUGCAUCGGAACGUGCCCAGUAGUGGGGGAUAGCCCGGCGAAAGCCGGAUUAAUACCGCAUACGACCUAUGGGUGAAAGCGGGGGACCGUAAGGCCUCGCGCUAUUGGAGCGGCCGAUGUCAGAUUAGGUAGUUGGUGGGGUAAAAGCCUACCAAGCCAACGAUCUGUAGCUGGUCUGAGAGGACGACCAGCCACACUGGGACUGAGACACGGCCCAGACUCCUACGGGAGGCAGCAGUGGGGAAUUUUGGACAAUGGGCGCAAGCCUGAUCCAGCCAUGCCGCGCGCGGGAAGAAGGCCUUCGGGUUGUAAACCGCUUUUGUCGGGGAAGAAAUCUUCGGGGCUAAUACCCCGGGAGGAUGACGGUACCCGAAGAAUAAGCACCGGCUAACUACGUGCCAGCCGCCGCAGUAAAAC
rnacentral:rRNA from 1 species